rnacentral:lncRNA from 1 species
UUGGAUUUGUAUCCUUCUAACAGAAACCAUGAAAGCUAUUUUCCUUUUCUGCCAUGUAAGGUUACAGGGAGAGCACCCUGUCUGUGAAGAAGCAGGUUCUCAUCUGAUACCAAAUCUGCUGGCACCUUGAUCUUGGACUUCCCAGACUCCAGGACGGAAGAUCACAGAUUGACAUCAGCAGGAAAACUUGCCAGGCAGCAGGAGGAUCCAUUUGAAAACUCACGAGAAAAAGGCCCUUGAGGCCUUUUUCCUGGUUAUUGAAGACAUCUUAGGAAACACUUAUGGUGACAAUUAAUCAAGCAAAAAUAGAUCCAGUUUUUCUGAAGAUCAAGCUUAACAUGUGUGCCAUGCUUUAAAAUGUCUUUCCAGGCACUCUCUCCUGCCCACGGAUCUUGCUUGGGAAAGGAAUGGGGCAAGUGGAAAUGGCCAUUUCUUAGAUGAACACAUCAGGGACUUGCUCCAGUCUGAAGUCUAUACAGAGCUAGGCUUUGAAUCCAGUCACGUAACGCAGGUGUGUGUUCAGAGCUUGACGGAUUACCACCAGGCUGGGCCAACAGGGUCGUUUUCAAGUCAGCUAGCCCUAAAAGGGCAAAAAAUUGUUGCAAUGCUCCCAGAUGUAACUCUGACCUGGUAUGGUUCAGGGACGAGGCCACUCACACACACUUGGGCAACUGCUCUUCUCGUGACCAGCCUCUUUCUGUGGGAAUCACUGGCAUAGCAGCAAAUCAGCCUUUCAGAAUAUUGCAGGAUCAGCAAUGAAAUUCCCUUUGCCAGAGAAAUGGACAAACAAGGAA